rnacentral:rRNA from 1 species
ACAGCAGCCGCCGCGGUAAUACAGAGGGUGCAAGCGUUAAUCGGAUUUACUGGGCGUAAAGCGUGCGUAGGCGGCUUUUUAAGUCGGAUGUGAAAUCCCUGAGCUUAACUUAGGAAUUGCAUUCGAUACUGGGAAGCUAGAGUAUGGGAGAGGAUGGUAGAAUUCCAGGUGUAGCGGUGAAAUGCGUAGAGAUCUGGAGGAAUACCGAUGGCGAAGGCAGCCAUCUGGCCUAAUACUGACGCUGAGGUACGAAAGCAUGGGGAGCAAACAGGAUUAGAUACCCCUGUAGUCCCUGUCUCUUAUAC